rnacentral:sRNA from 1 species
AACCGCCCUAACUGGGUUGCCAGUCGCAACCG